rnacentral:sRNA from 1 species
GCUGGGUGCAAGUGGUGCACACCUGUAAUCCCAGUUAUUUGGGAGGCUGAGGCAGGAGGAUUGCAAGUUCGAGGCCAGGCUUGGUAACUUAGUGAGACCCUGUCUCAA